rnacentral:rRNA from 1 species
GACGUAGGAUGCAAGCGUUGUCCGGAAUUAUUGGGCGUAAAGAGUUCGUAGGCGGUUGCCUAAGUCUGAUGUUAAAGGCCUGAGCUCAACUCGGGUAUGGCAUUGGAAACUGGGCGGCUAGAGUGUGGUAGAGGUAUCGGGAAUUCCUGGUGUAGCGGUGAAAUGCGUAGAUAUUGGGAAGAACACCAGUGGCGAAGGCGGCUACCUGGUCCGGAUCUGACGCUGAGGCGCGAAAGCGUGGGGAGCAAACAGG